AUUGAACGCUGGCGGCAUGCCUUACACAUGCAAGUCGAACGGCAGCACGGGUGCUUGCACCUGGUGGCGAGUGGCGAACGGGUGAGUAAUACAUCGGAACAUGUCCUGUAGUGGGGGAUAGCCCGGCGAAAGCCGGAUUAAUACCGCAUACGAUCUACGGAUGAAAGCGGGGGACCUUCGGGCCUCGCGCUAUAGGGUUGGCCGAUGGCUGAUUAGCUAGUUGGUGGGGUAAAGGCCUACCAAGGCGACGAUCAGUAGCUGGUCUGAGAGGAUGACCAGCCACACUGGGACUGAGACACGGCCCAGACUCCUACGGGAGGCAGCAGUGGGGAAGUUUGGACAAUGGGCGAAAGCCUGAUCCAGCAAUGCCGCGUGUGUGAAGAAGGCCUUCGGGUUGUAAAGCACUUUUGUCCGGAAAGAAAUCCUUGGCCCUAAUACGGUCGGGGGAUGACGGUACCGGAAGAAUAAGCACCGGCUAACUACGUG
rnacentral:rRNA from 1 species